GAUGAACGCUGGCGGCGUGCCUAAUACAUGCGAGUCGAGCGAACAGACGAGGAGCUUGCUCCUCUGACGUUAGCGGCGGACGGGUGAGUAACACGUGGAUAACCUACCUAUAAGACUGGGAUAACUUGGGGAAACCGGAGCUAAUACCGGAUAAUAUAUUGAACCGCAUGGUUCAAUAGUGAAAGACGGUUUUGCUGUCACUUAUAGAUGGAUCCGCGCCGCAUUAGCUAGUUGGUAAGGUAACGGCUUACCAAGGCAACGAUGCGUAGCCGACCUGAGAGGGUGAUCGGCCACACUGGAACUGAGACACGGUCCAGACUCCUACGGGAGGCAGCAGUAGGGAAUCUUCCGCAAUGGGCGAAAGCCUGACGGAGCAACGCCGCGUGAGUGAUGAAGGUCUUCGGAUCGUAAAAAUCUGUUAUUAGGGAAGAACAAAUGUGUAAGUAACUAUGCACGUCUUGACGGUACCUAAUCAGAAAGCCACGGCUAACUACGUG
rnacentral:rRNA from 1 species